AGUGAACGCUGGCGGUAGGCCUAACACAUGCAAGUCGAACGGCAGCACAGUAAGAGCUUGCUCUUACGGGUGGCGAGUGGCGGACGGGUGAGGAAUACAUCGGAAUCUACUUUUUCGUGGGGGAUAACGUAGGGAAACUUACGCUAAUACCGCAUACGACCUACGGGUGAAAGCAGGAGAUCUUCGGACCUUGCGUGAUUGAAUGAGCCGAUGUCGGAUUAGCUAGUUGGCGGGGUAAAGGCCCACCAAGGCGACGAUCCCUAGCUGGGCUGAGAGGGUGUUCAGCCACAGUGGAACUGAGACACGGUCCAGACUCCUACGGGAGGCAGCAGUGGGGAAUAUUGGACAAUGGGCGGAAGCCUGAUCCAGCCAUGCCGCGUGGGUGAAGAAGGCCUUCGGGUUGUAAAGCCCUUUUGUUGGGAAAGAAAAGCAGCAGGUUAAUACCCGGCUGUUCUGACGGUACCCAAAGAAUAAGCACCGGCUAACUUCGUG
rnacentral:rRNA from 1 species